rnacentral:rRNA from 1 species
UACGUAGGGUGCGAGCGUUGUCCGGAAUUAUUGGGCGUAAAGAGCUCGUAGGCGGUGUGUCGCGUCGGCCGUGAAAACCUGCAGCUUAACUGUGGGCUUGCGGUCGAUACGGGCAUCACUGGAGUUCGGCAGGGGAGACUGGAAUUCCUGGUGUAGCGGUGAAAUGCGCAGAUAUCAGGAGGAACACCGGUGGCGAAGGCGCCACUCUGGGCCGAAACUGACGCUGAGGCGCGAAAGCCUAGGGGGAGCGAACAGG